UUUUAGCCCAGAUAGAAACGGAAAGCCUUUUGAGUCUCGUUGUAUUUUUUUCUGACAGAAAAGAGCGACUGCAAGAAGCUCCUUUUGUGGCUUGAAAAAAAACAAACGAGAGAAAAAAAGCUUGUAGUGUAUAGCUGGAGUAGCU
rnacentral:sRNA from 1 species